rnacentral:rRNA from 1 species
ACUACGGGGGGCAGCAGUGGGGAAUAUUGCGCAAUGGGCGAAAGCCUGACGCAGCGACGCCGCGUGAGGGAUGAAGGUCUUCGGAUCGUAAACCUCUGUCAGCAGGGAAGAACGGUCACUGUGCUAAUCAGCAGUGAAUUGACGGUACCUGCAAAGGAAGCACCGGCUAACUCCGUGCCAGCAGCCGCGGUAAUACGGAGGGUGCGAGCGUUAAUCGGAAUUACUGGGCGUAAAGCGCUCGUAGGCGGUAUGUCAAGUCAAGGGUGAAAUCCCCGGGCUCACCGUGGUAACUGACUUUGAAACUGGCAAACUGGAGUGUGUGAUAGGAUAGUGGAAUUCCAGGUGUAGGAGUGAAAUCCGUAGAUAUCUGGAGGAACAUCAGUGGCGAAGGCGACUAUCUGGCACAUAACUGACGCUGAGGAGCGAAAGCGUGGGUAGCAAACAGGAUUAGAUACCCCGGUAGUC